UCCCGACACAGCCGGGCCCUGAGGGCUCCUGUCACCACCUUCAUCCACACGCGGCGACACGCGUCUUUAAACCAGACAGGUACGGACUGCGUUCAGUGUUCGGAAUGCGAGCUCCGCAUUUUUCUUCUCUUCUGGAUUCAAAGACACAAGUGACACGUGGUCGAAGAUGCUCGAGGCUGCGGUGAAGACUUCAGCGCCAGCCACGGAAACAGUGAAAUUUUACUGGUGCCCCAAAGGGCCGACGCCCCAGGGAGGACAGCACUGGGGGAACUUUAAUACAAACUGUUUUAAGUUGAAAGAAAAGCCACGCCACGUGAAUGCCGCCAUUUCCGCUGUAGGAGGGCGGAGGGGCACGUCUGUGGAAUGAAUGCAAGCGCGGCCCUGGCUGGGCUCACGCAGCCAGCGUCCGUCAGCCAGGACGGCCGCGUCCCGGGGAUUCCCACCUGCAGUCCAUGGAGCUGUCACCAAAAACGCUGCCGAGCGAGGCAGGAGGAAAGAGCUCCUUCUGCUGGACUGCUGUCCCUCAGUCAGCUGGGAUUCAGAGGUGACCCUUUCGCUGCAGAUGAGGAUCAACGGGUCCAUGAAAAGACGCUCGGCAUCACGUGGCCUCAGGGAAACGCACACCAAGCCACAGCGAAGAGCCACCUCACUCCCCUCGGGACGGCUUGCAUCAAACGACCAGAAGCGACGGGUGCCGGCGGGCGUACAGGCUGGUGCAGCCACUGUGGGAAACUGUACAGAGGUUCCUGAAAAUAUGAAAACUAGAGCUGCCCUAGGAUCUUGAAAUAGCACUUCUGGGUGCUUAGCCAAGAACAUGCAAACAUUAACCCAGAAAGAGAGAAGCGUCCUCGUGUUUCUUGGAGCAUUAUUUACUGUAGAGAUACGAUAAGAGACUGUGGGGAAAAAUAGAGAUACCGCCCAAGUGUCCCUUAGCCAGUGACUGGAGAAAGUGUAGUGACGUCCGCACCCAGGCGAGUGCUGCUCGGCCGUGAAAAUAAUGAAAUCUUGCCAUUUGCGACAAGGUGGAUGGACCUCAAGGACAUUACGUUAAGUGAAACAAGUCAGAC